AUGGCUGAGUCCUCCGAGGAUCGAAUUUCUGAGAUUGAUUAUGAAUUUCUCUCUGAGCUCUCUGUUCUUCUCGGGGUGGAUGCAGUUCAGCUGGCAAAGAGCCAAGAAGAAGAAGAGCAUAAAGAACGGAUGAAAAUGAAGAAAGGUUUUAACUCACAGAUGCGCAGUGAAGCCAAACGACUAAAGACUUUUGAGACCUAUGACACGUUCAGAUCAUGGACGCCACAGGAGAUGGCAGCUGCUGGGUUUUACUACACAGGCGUGAAACGUGGGGUUCAGUGCUUUUGCUGUAGCUUAAUCCUCUUUGGUAAUAGCCUCAGGAAACUUCCCAUAGAAGUUCACAAGAAAUUACGACCAGAAUGUAAGUUCCUUCUGGGCAAAGAUGUUGGUAACAUUGGCAAGUAUGACAUCCGGGUGAAGAGUCCAGAGAAGAUGCUGAGAGGUGGCAAAGCAAGGUACCAUGAAGAGGAGGCCAGACUGGAGUCCUUUGAGGACUGGCCAUUUUAUGCCCAUGGGACAUCACCACAUGUACUCUCAGCAGCUGGCUUUGUCUUUACAGGUAAAAGGGACACUGUGCAGUGUUUCUCCUGUGGCGGAAGCUUGGGCAACUGGGAAGAAGGAGAUGACCCCUGGAAGGAGCAUGCCAAGUGGUUCCCCAAAUGUGAAUUUCUUCAAAGUAAGAAAUCCUCAGAGGAAAUUGCCCAGUAUAUUCAAGGCUACAAGGGAUUUGUUCAUGUAACGGGAGAACAUUUUGUGAAGUCCUGGGUCAGAAGAGAAUUACCUAUGGUAUCAGCUUACUGCAAUGACAGUGUCUUCGCUAAUGAAGAACUAAGGAUGGACAUGUUUAAGGACUGGCCCCAAGAAUCACCUGUGGGUGUUGAAGCUCUAGUCAGAGCAGGCUUUUUCUACACUGGCAAAAAGGACAUUGUCCGGUGUUUUUCUUGUGGAGGAUGUUUGGAGAAGUGGGCAGAAGGUGAUGACCCAAUGGAAGAUCACAUCAAGUUUUUUCCCGAAUGUGUAUUUCUUCAAACCUUGAAGUCCUCUGCAGAAGUAAUUCCAACCCUUCAGAGCCAAUAUGCACUUCGAGAAGCCAUGGAAAGGACAAGUGAAAGCAACCACGAUGAUGCAGCAGCAGUCCAUUCUACAGUGGUGGACUUGGGUAGGAGUGAAGCCCAGUGGUUUCAAGAGGCCAGGAGUCUGAGUGAGCAGCUGAGAGAUACCUACACCAAAGCCACUUUCCGCCACAUGAACUUGCCAGAAGUGUGCUCCAACCUCGGCACUGAUCACUUGCUUGGCUGCGAUGUGUCCAUCAUUUCAAAACACAUCAGCCAGCCUGUGCAGGGGGCCCUGACGAUCCCUGAGGUAUUCUCCAAUCUCAGCUCUGUCAUGUGUGUGGAGGGGGAAACUGGCAGUGGAAAGACAACCUUCCUGAAGAGGAUAGCUUUUCUCUGGGCAUCAGGAUGCUGUCCCCUGUUGUACAGGUUCCAGCUGGUCUUCUACCUCUCCCUCAGUUCCAUCACACCAGACCAGGGACUGGCCAACAUCAUCUGUGCCCAACUCCUAGGGGCAGGAGGCUGCAUUAGUGAAGUGUGUCUGAGCAGCAGCAUCCAGCAGUUACAACACCAGGUGCUGUUCCUGUUGGAUGACUUCAGCGGGCUGGCCUCACUCCCCCAAGCCCUCCACACACUGAUUACAAAAAACUACUUGUCACGGACCUGCUUAUUGAUCGCUGUGCAUACAAACAGGGUCAGAGACAUCCGCCCAUACCUAGGUACAAGUCUAGAGAUCCAAGAGUUUCCCUUCUAUAAUACUGUCUCUGUGUUACGGAAGUUUUUUUCACAUGACAUAAUCUGUGUGGGAAAGCUUAUACUUUACUUUAUUGAUAAUAAAGAUUUACAGGGAGUUUACAAGACCCCUCUCUUCGUAGCAGCAGUAUGUACUGACUGGAUUCAAAAUGCAUCUGCCCAGGAUAACUUUCAAGAUGUGACACUUUUCCAGUCCUACAUGCAAUACCUGUCCUUAAAAUACAAAGCUACAGCUGAGCCUCUCCAGGCCACUGUGUCCUCAUGUGGGCAGCUGGCCUUGACAGGGCUUUUCUCAUCGUGCUUUGAGUUCAAUAGUGAUGACCUGGCAGAGGCAGGAGUUGAUGAAGAUGAAAAGCUUACCACCUGUUUGAUGAGCAAAUUCACCGCCCAGAGACUGAGACCAGUCUACCGGUUUUUAGGUCCUCUGUUCCAGGAGUUUCUUGCUGCCAUGAGACUGAGUGAACUCCUGAGUUCAGAUAGGCAGGAAGACCAAGAUCUUGGACUUUAUUAUUUGAGACAAAUUGAUUCACCUCUGAAGGCUAUAAACUCCUUUAACAUAUUUUUGUAUUAUGUCUCCAGCCACUCUUCAUCAAAGGCAGGGCCAACAGUUGUAUCUCAUUUGCUUCAGUUGGUGGAUGAGAUAGAGUCACUGGAGAACAUGUCUGAAAAUGAGGAUUACAUGAAGCUCCAUCCACAAACUUUUCUAUGGUUUCAGUUUGUUAGAGGGUUGUGGCUGGUGUCUCCUGAAUCUUUCUCUUCAUUCGUUUCAGAACAUUUAUUGCGCCUUGCUCUAAUCUUUGCUUAUGAAAGCAACACAGUUGCUGAAUGCUCUCCAUUUAUUUUGCAAUUCCUUCAAGGAAGAACACUGGCUUUAAGAGUACUGAAUUUACAAUACUUUAGGGACCACCCAGAAAGCCUGUUACUGUUGAGGAGUUUAAAGGUUUCCAUAAAUGGAAAUAAAAUGUCAUCUUAUGUAGAUUAUUCAUUCAAGACAUAUUUUGAAAACUUACAGCCACCAGCUAUAAAUGAGGAGUAUACAUCUUCCUUUGAGCAUAUAAGUGAGUGGAGGAGAAAUUUUGCUCAAGAUGAGGAGAUCAUAAAAAACUAUGAAAAUAUCCGGCCCAGAGCCCUACCAGACAUCAGUGAAGGGUACUGGAAACUGUCCCCCAAGCCAUGCAAGAUCCCCAAGCUGGAAGUUCAAGUGAACAACACGGAUGCAGCAGAUCAAGCACUGCUCCAGGUCCUCAUGGAAGUCUUCUCAGCUUCACAGAGUAUUGAAUUCUGUUUAUUCGACAGCAGUGGCUUCCUAGAAAGCAUCCGCCCAGCUCUGGAACUGAGUAAGACCUCUGUCACCAAGUGUUCCAUGUCCAGGCUGGAGCUCAGCAGAGCAGAACAGGAGCUGCUUCUCACCCUGCCUGCCCUGCAGUCUCUGGAGGUCUCAGAGACAAACCAGUUACCAGAUCAGCUCUUCCAUAACUUGCACAAUUUCCUGGGACUGAAAGAACUGUGUGUGAGACUAGAUGGCAAACCGGAUGUGCUCUCAGUCCUUCCUGGAGAGUUCCCAAACCUCCACCACAUGGAGAAGUUAUCCAUUGAAACCUCCACGGAGUCUGACCUCUCCAAACUAGUUAAAUUCAUCCAGAACUUUCCAAAUCUCCAUGUUUUCCAUCUGAAAUGUGAUUUCCUUUCAAAUUGUGAGUCUCUCAUGGCUGUGCUUGCUUCCUGCAAGAAACUCAGAGAGAUUGGGUUUUCUGGACGAUGCUUUGAAGCCAUGCCCUUUGUCAACAUUUUGCCAAAUUUUGUUUCUCUGAAGAUACUGAAUCUUAAAGAUCAACAAUUUCCAGAUAAGGAAACAUCAGAAAAGUUUGCCCAGGCUCUGGGUUCUCUCAGGAACCUGGAGGAACUGCUCGUUCCCACUGGGGACGGGAUUCACCAAGUGGCCAAACUGAUUGUCCAGCAGUGUCUGCAGCUUCCAUGCCUCCGAGUUCUCACCUUUCACAAUAUCUUGGACGAUGACAGUGUGAUUGAAAUUGCCAGGGUGGCAACCAGCGGAGGUUUCCAGAAACUUGAGAACUUAGAUAUUUCAAUGAAUCACAAGAUUACCGAGGAAGGAUACAGACAUUUCUUUCAAGCCCUGGACAACUUGCCAAACUUGCAAGAGCUGAACAUCUGCAGGAAUAUCCCAGGAUGCAUUCAAGUUCAGGCCACCACUGUCAAGGCUCUGGGUCAGUGUGUGUCCCGACUGCCCAGCCUCAUCAGACUGCACAUGCUCAGUUGGCUCCUGGAUGAAGAGGACAUGAAAGUGAUUAAUGAUGUGAAGGAAAGACACCCCCAGUCCAAACGCUUGAUUAUCUUCUGGAAAUUGAUAGUCCCAUUCUCUCCUGUUGUCCUGGAGUAAAGGAUGCUCCUGAAGACUACCGACAGUUCAGAAUACCUAAAACUCCUAAAAUUCUAGCUGAGCAUGAUGGUACACACCUGUACUUCAACAUUUAGGAUAAUGAUGUGGGAGAGUCAGGAAAGACAGCCUGAAGUUACAUUUUAUCACUCUGAUCACAAACAGAGAUGAAUGGAAUGAGUGGAGUACCCCAGUGGAGUACCUCAGUCUUUGUUGUUCUGCUCCUGGAGUUCUAACAAUCACUCUCGUAUCUUUUCCUUCUUUCCUGCUCUUCUAAGCACCCAGUUUUGACACAAGCACGGAUCAUCAGAUCCGCCCCCCCCCCCAACACACACAGACACACACACUCAUGUGUGCAUACACACAUACACACACAGGCACACACACAGACACACACAGCUAACUUGGACUUUCCUAUCAAAGCCUCCUGGUCUCACCUCCAUCUUUUAUUUCAAGCUUACUGCAAUGACAGUGUCUUCGCUAAUGAAGAACUAAGGAUGGACACNUUUAAGGACUGGCCCCACGAAUCACCAGGGGCUGUUGAAGCUCUGGUCAAAGCAGGCCUUUUCUACACAGGUGAGUCAGGGUUUUUUUCUUCGUGCAUAUGUGUGUGUGUGUUUGUCUGCAUGUAAAUAUGUGUGACACAUUCCUGCAUGGUGCCCUUAGAGGCCAAAGAGGAUCUUGAAUCCUGGGACUGUAGAUAGAAUUGUCUGUGAGCCAUCAUGUGGGUGCUGGAACCAAACAUGACUCCUUUGCGUGAGCAGUGAGUGCUCUCAGGCUGAACAUCUCUUUAGAGUCAGUAUUUUGUGUGGACCACAUAUUCAAAUCCUCUUACAUCUUCCUUUAGUCUUCAUCAUUUGUCAUAGAUCCCUUUGAGACUCUGUUUCCCAUAGCUCCCUCAGUGUUCAGCCUCUGAACCUGGGGAUUCUGCAGCCACUUCAUCCAACAGACACAUCCCACUGGCACAGAUGAUCUUCUUCUCACAUGGUCUCAACGCUUGUCUCCUUGCCAGCCUUCAAGUCUCAUGGAUGACGUGCUUCUGAUUCUAGUUAAAUAUAGCUGGCAGUGAUAUGGGGAGAGACAAGUGAUUCUUCAUAAUCUAGCUUGCAUAGAGACUCUUAAAUUUGUUCUUCUGCCCCACCCCAGCUAUGAGUAUAUUCUUUCUGAUUUACUCAGGAAGCACUUGCUUUUCAGUUGCUUGUCUGUGAAUGUCCAGUAAAAUCUGGAGUUGUCUUCCUGUGAGUUGGCAGCUGUAGGUGCUGUUUAACUGACCUCAUUCCUUUUCCUAGGCAAAAGGGACAUUGUCCAGUGUUUUUCCUGUGGAGGAUGUAUGGAGAAGUGGGCAGAAGGUGACGACCCAAUAGAAGAUCACACCAAGUUUUUUCCCAAGUGAGCAAAAUGACUUCUCUUGACUGUGAAUGUGCUUCAACUGUUAUUCCCUCAAUGUCCAUGUCUUACCUGUGGAUGGUCUCUGCCCACCCUUCUGUUCCCUCUGUGAAGGACACAUCAUUAUGUCCCUUGCCUCCCAUGACACCCUCCCUGUCCAGUUUUUUCCUCUUCAUUGUUACAUCUUGGUUUUGAUUGGGCAAAUAUACAGACUUUUAAAGUCAGGGUCUCUCUAUGUCCCAGAUCAUCAUAGAAAUGCUAUCUAGCCUAGGUAGGACUUGAACCCAUGAUCCUCCUGCCUCAGCCACCCAAGUGCUGUUAUUACUGAGGGAUGCUACUAUAUCUGGAAAUACCAUGCCUUUCUGAUCAUUUUCAUUACAAAUUAGUCUUCCUCUUCUCCUCUUUCUGGAAUCCUUUACUGUUUUNUAUUUCUGCUGUCUGAGACUUCCCAAGUGGUUUUCUUUUUCCAGUGCUGGGGACAGAAGCACUGACUUGGGCACACUAGGCCAUCCCUUACUAUUCAUUUACUCUUGCCCACUUUUCUGCCCUUCUUCAAGGUUAUUUUCAUUUCUCUUCCACACACAAGACAACUCUAGAAAUGUUCAGCUGCAGAAUGAAAUUCAUUGUUUUUAUUUAGUAAUUAGAAUCUUCAAAGAUAAAUAUCACCACAGGUAGUUUGAAAUGUGAGCAUUUCUAGGCACAGUGAUCUACACAUGGAAUCCUAGCUCUCAGGAAGUUGAAGGAAGAAAAUCAGUUUUCUUUUAUAUUAAAUGCUUUAAUAUUAAUUAUUCUAAAAUCGAUCUAUUUUAAAUUCCAGCACUUCUAACUAAGGAAUAAGAGUUUUUUGCUCUGGUCUUCCUCGGAAGGCAUGAAAAUAUGCAAUUGUCUUUGUGUCUCUGCAGUUUCCACAGAAGUGUUCUAUGUGCACCCAAUGCUUACCUAAAAUUGCUCUAAACUGAUAUAAGUCUAAUUAUUAAACAUUAAAAUGUAUA